CCUACGGGUGGCAGCAGUGAGGAAUAUUGGUCAAUGGGCGCAAGUCUGAACCAGCCAAGUAGCGUGCAGGAUGACUGCCCUACGGGUUGUAAACUGCUUUUGUAAGAGGGUAAAGUGAGGCACGUGUGCCUGGUUGUAAGUAUUUUAUGAAUAAGGAUCGGCUAACUCCGUGCCAGCAGCCGCGGUAAUACGGAGGAUCCGAGCGUUAUCCGGAUUUAUUGGGUUUAAAGGGAGCGUAGGUGGGUUGUUAAGUCAGUUGUGAAAUCUUGGGGCUCAACCGUAAAAUUGCAAUUGAUACUGGCAGCCUUGAGUACAGUUGAGGUAGGCGGAAUGCGUGGUGUAGCGGUGAAAUGCUUAGAUAUCACGAAGAACUCCGAUUGCGAAGGCAGCCUACUAAACUGCCACUGACAUUGAUGCUCGAAAGUGUGGGUAUCAAACAGGAUUAGAUACCCCGGUAGUC
rnacentral:rRNA from 1 species